ensembl:lncRNA
CUGGAACGUUUGACAGCUAAACGGUUUGGCACUGAGGCAGAGCAGGUACUCAGGCAUCAGACUGGGUAAGAGAGGCUUGAGUUUGAUAUGAAACCACAAGGUGACAAACGCCGUGUCCGUCAGGUCAGCGUGUGCUGGGUCAUGGAUCCGUUCUAGAAUGUUUCUAAAAGGGGAAUCUGCUGAACUAAAGUUCUGGAAGAAAGCAGGACAUUAACCAUACUUUUAGUCAGUUAUUAGUAUAGAGUGUCAGUAGUGUUAUAGUGGUAUGUCAGUAGUGUUACAGCAGUGUGUCAGUAGAGUUACAGCAGUGUGUCAGUAGAGUUACAGCGGUGUGUCAGUAGAGUUACAGCGGUGUGUCAGUAGAGUUACAGUGGUGUGUCAGUAAUUUUCAGUGGUGUGUCAGUAGAGUUUCAGUGGUGUGUCAGUGGUGUUACAGUGUACGCACUGUGUGGGCAAGCUGGUUCAGAAGUGUGUUGAGGUUGCUGGAGAGGUGCAGUACGAGACUGUUGACUGUUUCCCCUGUGAGCAUCAGAUUAGUGCUCUCCACACACUGCAGGAUUUUUGCCACAUUCUCCAUCACAUUAGUCACCUGGAACAACAUAACAGCACGUCACAUACAGUGCUGUGGAAAAGUAUUUGCCCCAUCCUGAUUUCUUCUGUUUUGUGUAUAUCUCACAUUAAAUUGUUUUAGAUCUUCAAACGAAAUACAACAUAAAUCAAAGACAACUGGAGUAAACACACAAUACAGUUUUUAUUUAUUGAAGCAACAAAAGUUAUCCAACACCUAUCAUCCAUUUGAAAAAUGAAUUGCCCCCUUAAACUUUAAAUCUGUCUGUGCCACCUUUAGCAGCAAUAACUGCAACCAAACUCUUCCAAUAACUGGAGAUCAGCCUUUCACAGCGCUGUGGUGGAAUUUUGGCCCACUCUUCUUUUUCAGAACUGCUUUAGUGCAGCCACACUGGAGGGUUUUCGAGCAUGAACUGAAGGUUUAAGGUCCUGCCACAGCAUUUCAAAUUUUUUUUUUUUAGCCAUUCAGAGGUGGUCUUACUUCUACGCUUUGGAUCACUGUCUUGCUGCAUAAUCCAGUUGUGCUGGAGUUUAAAUUUACAGACUGAAGACUGGACAGUCUCCUUUAGGAUUUUCUGCUAGAGAGCAGAAUUCAUGUUUCCCUCAAUUACUGCACGUUGCCCAGACCCUGAAGCAGCAGCGCAUCCCCACACCAUCACACUUCCUCCACCACGCUUGACCGUAGGUAUGAUGAUCUUUUUGUGGAGUUCGGUGUUUGGUUUACUCCAGAUGUGACGGGACUCCUGUCUUCCAAACAGUUCCACUUUCACCUCAUCAGUCCACAGAACAUUCUCCCAAAAGCUUUGAGGAUCAUCAAGGAGUGUUUUGGUGAAAUUCAGACGAGUCUUAAUGUUCUUCUGGGUUAGCAGUGGUUUUCACCUCACCACUCUUCCAUGGAGCCGUGUUCCCCCAGUGUCUUUCUGAUAGUGGAGUCAUAAACAGUGACUUUAUUGAUGAGAGAGGCCUGUAGGUCCUUUGAUGUUGUUCUGGAUGAGUAGAUCGGAUUCACUACUAUGCUGAGUUUUUCCAUUUGGAGAUAACAGCUCUCGCUGUGGUUCUUUGGAGUCCCAGAGCCUCUGAAAUAGCUUUGUCACCCUUCCCAGACUGAUGUAUUUCAAUCUCCUUCUUCCUCAUCAUUUCUAGAAUUUCUUUCAACUUUGCCAGAGUGUGUUACUACGUAAGAUCUUUUAACCAACUCCAUGCUGUUGAAAAACAUUUAUUUAAGUGUAGAUGUGAUUGAACAGGGUUUGCAGUAAUCAGGUCAGGUUGUGUCUCGUCCAGCUGAGCCCCAUUAUCAAUGCACUUUCAUAGAUUUGGGGAAUUAGUAACUACGGGGGCAAAUACAUUUUCACACAGGCCCAAUUAGUAUUGGAUAACUUAUUUGCUUCAAUAAAUAACAUUAUUAUCAUUUAUAAACUGUAUUUUGUGUUUACUCAAAUUGCCUUUAUUUUAUCUGAGAUAUAAC